AGCAGUCGCCACGGGAAUACGUAGGUGGCAAGCGUUGUCCGGAAUUAUUGGGCGUAAAGGGCUCGCAGGCGGUUUCUUAAGUCUGAGGUGAAAGGUUCAACGCUUAACGUGAACAGUGCCUUGGAUACUGGGGAGCUUGAGUAUGGGAGAGGGCAGUGGAAUGGCUGGUGUAGCGGUGAAAUGCGUAGAUAUCAGUCGGAACACCCAUGGCGAAGGCAGCUGCCUGGCCUAAUACUGACGCUGAGGUGCGAAAGCGUGGGGAGCGAACGGGAUUAGAUACCCCAGUAGUCCCUGUCUCUUAUA
rnacentral:rRNA from 1 species